rnacentral:rRNA from 1 species
GUUUAUAGACACAUCAUCCUGAAGAUGCCUGAUCUCAUCUGUCCUGGAAAGUAGGGUAACAGGGUCAGGGCCAGUUACUGCUUGGUUGGGAGACCACUUGUGAAUACUGAGUGAGCUGUAGGCU